rnacentral:rRNA from 1 species
GAUGAACGCUGGCGGCGUGCCUAAUACAUGCAAGUCGAGCGAACAGACGAUGAGCUUUCUCCUCUGACGUUAGCGGCGGACGGGUGAGUAACACGUGCAUAACCUACCUAUAAUACUUGGAUAACUUCGUGAAACCGCAUCUACUACUGCCUAAUACGUGCUACGGCUGGAUUCAAUGGGUAAUCAGGCUUUGCGGGCUUGUAUGAGACGAUGCCGGAUUAGCUAGUUGGCAAGGUAAGGGCUUACCAAGGCAACGAUCCGUAGCUGACCUGAGAGGAUGAUCGGCCACACUGGAACUGAGACACGGUCCAGACUCCUACGGGAGGCAGCAGUAGGGAAUCUUCCGCAAUGGGCGAAAGCCUGACGGAGCAACGCCGCGUGAGUGAUGAAGGUCUUCGGAUCGUAAAACUCUGUUAUUAGGGAAGAACAAAUGUGUAAGUAACUAUGCACGUCUUGACGGUACCUAAUCAGAAAGCCACGGCUAACUACGUG